rnacentral:rRNA from 1 species
UGGGGAAUAUUGCACAAUGGGGGAAGACCCUGAUGCAGCGACGCCGCGUGAGCGAAGAAGUAUUUCGGUAUGUAAAGCUCUAUCAGCAGGGAAGAAAAUGACGGUACCUGACUAAGAAGCCCCGGCUAACUACGUGCCAGCAGCCGCGGUAAUACGUAGGGGGCGAAGCGUUAUCCGGAUUUACUGGGUGUAAAGGGAGCGUAGACGGAUGUGCAAGUCUGAAGUGAAAGCCCGGGGGCUCAACCCCGGCAGCGCUUGGAAUACUGUGUAUCUAGAGUGCCGGAGAGGUAAGCGGAAUUCCCAGUGUAGCGGUGAAAUGCGUAGAUAUUGGGAGGAACACCAGUGGCGAAGGCGGCUUACUGGACGGUAACUGACGUUGAGGCUCGAAAGCGUGGGGAGCAAACAGGAUUAGAUACC